AGGCGCGUAGCUCAGCUGGGAGAGCGCUACCUCGACGCGGUAGAGGUCGCCGGUUCGAAACCGACCGCGCCUACCA
rnacentral:tRNA from 1 species